rnacentral:rRNA from 1 species
UGGGGAAUUUUGGACAAUGGCCGCAAGCCUGAUCCAGCAAUGCCGCGUGCAGGAUGAAGGCCUUCGGGUUGUAAACUGCUUUUGUACGGAACGAAAAGGCUCUGGUUAAUACCUGGGGUCCAUGACGGUACCGUAAGAAUAAGCACCGGCUAACUACGUGCCAGCAGCCGCGGUAAUACGUAGGGUGCAAGCGUUAAUCGGAAUUACUGGGCGUAAAGCGUGCGCAGGCGGUUUUGUAAGACAGAGGUGAAAUCCCCGGGCUCAACCUGGGAACUGCCUUUGUGACUGCAAGGCUGGAGUACGGCAGAGGGGGAUGGAAUUCCGCGUGUAGCAGUGAAAUGCGUAGAUAUGCGGAGGAACACCGAUGGCGAAGGCAAUCCCCGUGGGCCUGUACUGACGC